CCGCCAAUCGAGCAGCCUCCUCCGGUCCGUUCCGUCAGUCGGUGGCGACGCGUCGCCGUGUUCGCGUGUUUUGUGUGUGUGCGUGUGUCUUUCGAUGUCACUCGGUCCCGUCGUCGUUGUCGUUGUCGUCGUCGUCGCCGUCGCCGUCGAGCCGCCCUUCCUUAGUAGUACCCUUCAAUCACGUCUCCCCGUCGUCCCCGUUGUGACAUCAUUGGCAUCAUUUGACGUCAUUGUUUAACCCUUUUAUCGUGACCAUCAGAUCCCACGUAUCCUCUCUACCGCGAAGCGAACUUUAAUCGGGGCACGAGGAAGAUGUAAAAACUCGAAAGUGUCUUCUCCGGAAACUACGUCGCACGUUGGCGGUGCCGUGAAUGAGGAUUACACUUGACGACGCAAAAUGGAGACGUCACUCGUGAUUCCUGGCGAGAAAGAUCUCUCGAGAUGUUGCGAAGACGUCGAACGCGGCAGCGCCUGGUAUCUCUGAAGGAGAGAUGCACUUUGCGAAGAUGCACGGGUGAUACAGGACAGGCUCCCACAAAAUGUUGAUCAAGGAGUAUCGCAUACCGUUGCCUCUCACGGUAGAGGAGUAUCGAAUCGCUCAGCUGUACAUGAUAGCGAAAAAAUCUCGGGAGGAGAGCAAGGGUGCCGGUAGCGGCGUGGAGAUAAUCGAGAACGAGCCGUACAGCAACGGUCCGGGCGGUAACGGGCAGUACACACACAAAAUCUAUCACGUGGGCAGUCAUCUGCCGGGCUGGUUCAAGAGCCUCUUGCCCAAGUCGGCGCUGAUCGCCAAGGAGGAAGCAUGGAAUGCCUAUCCGUACACCAAGACCCGCUACACGUGCCCGUUCGUGGAGAAGUUCUCCGUCGAGAUCGAAACCUACUACUUCCCGGACGACGGCAACCAGGAGAACGUCUUCAAUCUCACCGGCAGUGAUUACAGGAACAGGAUCGUGGAUUUGAUCGACAUUGUCAAGGAUCAGCCGUACGGGGCCGACUACGUGAAGGAGGAGGAUCCCAAGCUGUACGUGUCGGAAAAGACGAAGAGGGGCCCAUUAGAGGACACGUGGCUGGAGGAUUAUUGGGCCGAUGUGGAAGGAAAGCAACAGCCAACGCCGUCGGGAAAGUCACUAAUGUGCGCGUACAAGCUAUGCCGAGUAGAGUUCCGUUAUUGGGGCAUGCAAACGAAAUUAGAAAAGUUCAUACACGACGUAGCUCUGCGGAAGACGAUGGUGCGGGCGCACAGACAGGCCUGGGCCUGGCAGGAUGAGUGGAACGGUCUGACGAUGGAAGACAUCAGGGAGAUCGAGCGGCAGACGCAAUUGGCGCUGCAACAGAAGAUGGGUCUGAGUGACUUGGAGGACGAGCUCGAGGACGAGAAUCGGAAGGCGAGCGCGACGGCGACGACGACGACGUCGAUUACGACGGCAACGGCGACGCCGACGAACGCGACGAUGACGUCGGAGGAGUCGGCGGUAGCCAAAACGCUGGCGGCCACCCUGGGCAGCAUCGAGAAGAACGAGGAGGCGCAGAGCCCGCCGUCUGUCAGGAAGCCGUCCGACAUUCCCAUCAUCAACACGGCGGCUAGCUCCGAGGGCAGUCCCGAAGACUCGCCGAUCGAUCUGGAUGAGAUCAAAAAUGCGGCCGCCGCUGAAAAAGCUAAGAAGGAAUGGAUGAAGAACAACGUGCCCUUGCAUUCGCCGAAUUCGAAUAAAAAUUUCGACAUGCAGAUCGCCAACUGGAGGAUGGAGAGCAUUGUCAGGGAAUCGGAAUCCGGCAGCGACGACGAGUUCUUCGAUUGCCAGGCUGGGUUCAUUAUACCUGUUAUACGCAAAGAGGACUUUGAAGAUAGCUCUUCAUUAGCUAAAUGGAGUUCUUUGGAUCUUCUAGCAGAAGGGGAGGACACGACCGUACGGACUCCAUCUGCGGCAAACGAGCAAGAGGAUACAAUAUUUUCGCCUUCGUAUCUGCAACGUAUCACCAACGAACGAAGCAGUAAGAGAUUACAGAUCAGCACGUCGGCUAGUAUCGACGUGUCGUGUCCAGCGUCCCCUCAACACUCUCCUACGCAUCAACCAUGCAAAAUUACUGUUUUAAUUAUCGUGGUACACGGCGGCAGUGUUUUAGAUGCGAAUGUCGAUUUAACGGCGAAAAAGUCAGACAUAACGACAUUCCGCGGAGCUUUCGAAUCUGUCAUGAGACAGCAUUAUCCCAGUAUGGUUGGUCAUGUAUCCAUUAAAUUCGUCGCCUGUCCUUCCAUCUGUACCGAAGGCCUGGGAAUUUUGUCAAGUCUGAGUCCAUACAGCUUCGACAUGUCGCCUUCAUGCAUGGACGCUCCGCAAGUGACGCACGACACCAUUCCAAUUGGUGCGAUUCCGCUGUUGGCGAGCUCAAGUUCCGAAUAUCUAGAUACAGUGUCGCGCGUGGUGAUGAGCGCUAAUCAAGUGUACCAUGACUUUAUCAAAAGUGAUGAGGGUAAAGGUUUCAACGGACAGAUUUGCUUUGUGGGCGACUCGGUGGGAUCGAUCUUGUCCUACGACGCUCUAUGUAGAGCAACGCAACAUUCGCGACAUAGCAGCGAAAAUAGCAUUCUAGAAGGUAGUGGCCAGCAGGGUAAUGACAACAGCGAAGACGGUAAACAUCUAUCUGCACCGUCUCCUAGAAGAAGAUCUUCUGGCACGGGUGACAACAAGUUGGAUUUUGAAGUGGGUGACUUGUUUACGUUCGGUAGUCCGCUUGCACUAGUCCUCGCUUAUAGAAAGAUUGCUGCGUCUAACGACAGGAAUAGUUUCAUACCCAGGCCAUUAGUCAACCAAGUGUACAAUCUGUUUCAUCCCACGGAUCCUGUGGCCGCGAGAUUGGAACCCUUGAUCUCAGCGAGAUUUUCUUUGAUCGCACCGGUCAACAUUGCCCGAUAUCAAAAGUAUCCUCUCGGCAAUGGCCAGCCUUAUCACUUGCUGGAGACUAUCCAGACUAAUCCGCAGCUGUUUGCCGACGGAUUGAAUGUUCCCAAUUUUCAAAUGUCGCAUUUAAGAAGAUUAUCCGAUAUAUCAAUUCAAAGUACAAUGUCAGGAAUUAUCGACAAUGUUCCUUUACAGGCAGUGUCUACCCUGAUGCAAAAGUGGUGGGGCACCAAAAGACUAGAUUAUGCGCUCUAUUGUCCAGAGGGUCUCGCUAAUUUUCCUACAAACGCCUUGCCGCAUCUCUUCCACGCUAGUUAUUGGGAGUCUUCGGACGUAAUCGCGUUCAUUUUGAGACAAUUGGGCAGAUUCGAUGCGCCAUUGCUCGGCAAUGAGGAAAAAGAUCUCACUUGCUUCCGUCCAGGUCAACCCAGAGAAAAAUGGAAUAAAAAGCGUACCUCCGUUAAACUUAAGAAUGUUGCUGCCAAUCACAGAGCGAAUGAUGUCAUCGUGAGGGAAGGUGCACCACAAGUAUUAGUCGCUAGGUUUAUGUACAGUCCUAUUGAUGUGAUAACAUUAACAGGUGAGAAAGUUGAUAUCCAUAUUAUGAAAAGCUCACCGGCGGGCGAGUGGACAUACCUCACUACUGAGGUAACUGACAAGAAUGGUAGAAUAAUUUAUAAAAUACCAGAUGACAAAGCGCUAGGUUACGGACUUUAUCCAGUAAAGAUGGUUGUAAGGGGAGAUCAUACAUCUGUAGAUUUUUUCAUGGCUGUGAUACCGCCGAGAACUGAGUGUGUGGUUUUUAGCAUAGACGGUUCUUUUGCCGCUAGUAGGUCGGUGAGUGGUAAAGAUCCAAAAGUCAGGGCUGGUGCCGUCGAUGUUGUGAGGCAUUGGCAGGAACUGGGUUACCUCAUCAUUUAUAUUACCGCGAGACCCGAUAUGCAACAACAGACAGUAGUUUCCUGGCUGUCGCAGCAUAAUUUUCCUCACGGUCUCGUCUCAUUUGCCGACGGCCUGUCUAGGGAUCCGCUCGCCCACAAAGCCGCCUACUUGAAUAAGCUUGUGAAGGAGCACGGUAUGAUAAUCCAUCAGGCGUACGGCAGUGAGAAGGAUAUUAGCGUGUACACGGCGAUAAAUCUCAAAGCGAGCCAGAUCUUCAUCAUCGGCAAAGUAUCCAAAAAGCAUCAAGCAAUGGCGACAAUACUGUACGACGGGUAUGCCGCUCAUUUGAGCAUGCUGCAGGCGCAUGGGGGUUCGCGGCCUGCUCAGGGCAAUGCGCGCAUGGUGAUCCCCAGAGGUCAAUUCGGUUUACCAGGACAGAAUCCUUCCCUGCGUCGACGAAGAGUGUUUACUACCGGGAAAAACUGGAAAAACCUGAAAUUCUCAAGAUAUUUCUUCGAAAAUUAUGGAUUUUUAUGGAAUUUUAUUGAUACUCGAGGAAAUUUUUGUAAUCUUAUACUUUUAAAUUCUAUUUCUGACAAAAUUAUUUCUUUGCUCAUUCUUUCUUGAUAAUGCAAAAUGUCGACAAGCGAUUAAUAAUAAACAUGUAUACAUCCACGUACAUUUUCAUUAGAUUCGCGAGUUUUUAUAAAAAACCAAUGGGAAGACAAGUAGAAGACGGUACCUGAUUCUAAAUUGAUUCUGCGCGUUUAAUCAUCCUUUCAAAUUCUACACUUCCAAUGAGCUAGAACGAUUCUUGUUAUAUUUCCUCAAAUUUAAUAUUUAAAACUUAUCGUAAAAUAGAUUAUUCGAAAAUGUAUUAAAAAAUUCUUUAGUCCUGUCUAUAAGUUUGAAUAAAAUUCUUAGAAAAUCCGAGAAUUCUCAGGGAAUUCUUUUAUAUUUGAGUAAACACCCUGUUGAUUGCUCUCCACAGCUCCUGCGAAGAGUCAUGGCCUCCUUCGGCUUCUUUGCAAUUUUUAUAGGAAGGGAAGUCGUAACAGUCCCUCGUGCCCAUUCUUCACUCUGGAGAAAAUCCGGCUGUUUUAAAGCUCGCUUGUUACCGAAUUUAACUCAAUUAGCUUAAAUCAAUUGAUCCAAAUCGAGAAUGCGUCGGCGCCUAUGCCCUCCGCUUUUCCCCAAAUCUUUAUCGCAGAUAUCGCAGCGCGAUCUCUUACUGGUAAAAAGAUCAUAUUGUACAAAAUCAUAUUAUCUUUUCGCGCACGGAAACAAUGCGCAUUUAACAAAUCGCGGAAAUUGACAGCGGUCGGCUUACAAUGAGAUUUAUUAACGUCUGUCUUCGAAUCGCAUCGUCUGCACUAGCUGUCGUGCGCGAGGAAGGACGUUUGAACGAGGGAAGAGGGAUAAUUGAAUUAUAGAACGUUCGAUUGUGAAAAUCGACACGGUUGUCGCGAUUGCCAGUUGUCCGAUAGACGUUUCGUAAUCAACGUUUCGCCGCUUCCUCUUCGCUCUUCCCUUACGACCGGAUCUUUUUGCCAUUAACGCGCGCUGCACCGGGUCACGUCCCCAUGCUGUCUAGUCAGUAAAAGCGGAGACCCAUCGACCGUAUCUCGCUGACCAGUCUCUUGAUUGCAGGUACCUGCUAUGAGGAUAUGUCGCGUUGUCUCAACGUAGUUAAAUAUCACACUUCUCUGUCUCUAUCUCUCACUUGGCGAAAAAAGCUGUUGUCGCCAUACCUACGCUCGAACUCAUUGUUUGCCUAUCGGCUAGUACACAAUGUCCAGGAUCUGUGGUUAAUCCGCUCUAUGACCGCUCGCUAGAUACGCCCGGGAAAUAGAGUCGUUUUCGUAAUCCUCUCCGAAACGAACCGGUCUCACUUUAGCGACGAAGCUCUUUUAGGACGGCGAAGCGUGCGAUCUCACAGCCACCCUUAGGCAAGACAUCCUUCCCGUUGGAACGCUCAACGAGCGUGGGCCCAUCCGUCACGUCUGGAUCAUCGGCAUCGGCCGGCAUUCAUCAGUCAGCGACAACCGAGAAGCUCUGACGAUUUGCACGCUGCCGCUCAUUCUUCGAAUCGCGGCGGUAGCUUUCGAAGGAAGUACACGAUUCUUGGUUGCGUAUCCGCUAGUUUCUUUAUUCGUAAUACGAAAGAUCGUUAUAUUUUGUGAUAAUCUGUGACAGAUUUUUACGUCGUGUAUUCACGAUUCACAGAAACGGUCUCUCGCAGAUAUCUCGUAUUAUAGAUCUUUUACUGUCCUGUAGAUGACGUAUUUAGGUGUUGUCGUCUCAUUUCGUCGUAUCUCAUAUCGUAAAUCUCCUUGACCUAUUUUCGCAGAUUUUUAUGGUACUAUAGACACACUUUAGCCUUUUCGAUCUCGCAUAUUUUUAGUUUUGUACGUGAAGUGCUAGUUUUUAAUAAUCUUUGAAAUCUUGCGUUUUUAUUCCACCUUGCGCUUUGAUCGUUUUUUUAUUAUACUAUGUUAAUCUCCAAAAUUUGAGUUUCAAUUUAAAAAUCUCGAGAAUUGACGAUUAAAUGAAAAAAUUGACAUAGAUGAGUGUGCGUAAAUUAUUGCUCUAAAAUUUUUUAUCUAAUUCCUGGGAUAUUGUAAUUGUUUAUUUAUAUUUACCGUUCUAUACAUUUUGGUUAAAAUGUACAUUAUAAGUUAAAACGAACAUUAAGAUCUUAGCGAAAAUCGUAACUAAUGUUUAUAUCUGAAAAUUAAACAUUUAAUUUUUCAACAUUUUCAUUCAAAUAUUUUUAUCGCGUGUACACUAUGUUAAAAUCUCAUUUAACACUUGUUUUUUUUUUAUUUAUAAUAAGCAUUUCAAGCAGAACAAAGAUGAUCAAAAUAGAAAUUCUGAUUUCGAAUAUUUAUGAUGUCCCAGGAAAUUAGACGAAAAUCUUUUAGAUUGACGAUUACGUUCGCUUAUCUGCAUGAUUUUUCUAUGAUGACUUAUUUAUUUCUCAAUUCGAUUUUAUAGCUCUUUCGUUACAUAUAUGUACAAUUUUGAUUCCAUAAUUCGUUUUAACUAUUAUCUUAGUUUUACGAAUCCUUGUACAGCUCCUACUAUACGACUUCUGUUAUACGACCUUAGCACGUCUCUCGUAUUAUUCCAAUAAACAAAAUUUUGCUUAUAUAAAAGUUGUAUCCAAGAUUUAUCUUUUAUAUACUUUGUGCCACUUUUAUACCACAAUUUAUCAGUAAUCUCAUUGUCUACACUUGCAAAUACUUGUCUAUUCUAAGUACGUUUUCUUUCCUCGCUAUGUAAGUGCAAAGGCAUGAAUUAAAAUACCAAUGGAAUUUUUUGUUUAGCGGAAUAAUACGCCGAGAAUGAGAACUUGUUGAAACUGUUACCUGAGUCUCCCUGUUGUUAUUAAGGAGAAAUAACGUAAUGUUAACUGUGACGCUUAGAGAUAAUUAGCGUAAGAACUGUUAGCACUCUACUCAUUGCCAAAUGUUAUAUAGAGACGUAAUACGUAAUGCUCUGCAAAGUCCGCGUCAAGUUCUUUCAGGGCUAUUUUCUCGCGUGGAAUAUAUUCAUAUCGCUGGCAAGAAAGGCAAUCGUAAAACGAAGGAACAUGCUUGGUAACACUGAUUUACAGGUGUUACUUGUUUUACGCGAUUUUAUCCAUUUCACUUCACCGUUUCAUUCGUUCUAAGAAAAUUUAAUAUCCUACGAAUAUUAUUUAUCCACGAACACACACACACACACACACACACACACACACACACACACACACACACACACACACACACACACACACACACACACACACACACACAUACUGAGGAUAUAUAUUUUGUAUUAUUUAUAUAAUUAAAUUAGCUGACAAUGCGUAUAAUUUGUACUAAAGAAAAUGAUAUAAGACAAUAUUAAUGGGGUAAUUUGAAAAAUGACAGUGUGCUUAUUUAUAAACAAGAAUGCGAUAAUGAUGAAGCCAAAAAUAUUAAUUUGAGAAAUGAGAAAAGGAUCUUCUUUAAAUCGUUGUCUCUAAUAGAUUCAUCCUUUCUGAAUCUUUUUUUUUUUACGAUUCAGUACUUCGGGAAUAUUCUGGAAAAUAAUCGAGAGAAUUCGUGCGUUUAGUUGAGAAAGUUGGAAGCGUAUCAUACUUAUAAGACGAAGCAUCAAUGCCUAUAUAUAGACGCGCGCGCGCGACAACCGGUACAAAGCUACUCUUCUCUUAUUACAUAGUCGCGUAAACCUGUUACUGGCGAUGUAAAUACGUUUAGAGAUGUUGUGUAAAUAAGUACAUUAUCCGUGAAUAAAUGUUAGAAGAAGAUCGAGAUCAUAUUUACGUGACUGGCUGCUAGAUGCUUCGUCGAUGAAAGCGUGCCAAGCGGAGCGUGCGAGUCGGAGCUGAGAUGAAAUUGAUGCGCUGAUUCCCGAUAUGGAAUUCCAUUUCCCCGACUCUAUCCCGCAGAUCUUUUAUUCUUAGGGAGAAUCCUGAUAUCUUGCAGCGAUACAGUUCGCAGGAGUACAGUUCGCAGGAGAAAAAAAAAAGAGAUUCGUCUUAGCUCUGAAUCGCAAUGUUUAUUAAGUUAGCAUGCCAAUAUCAGCAUAUGAAACGUAUAGGAAGAUUUAGUGCCUUUAUGUGCUGAUUUUUUUUUUCUAAAAUAUAGUUAAAAAAAUUCAACUUGCUAUACAUAUUUUGACUCAUUAAAUACAUAAUUUAAUUUAUAUAUAUCUAAAUAAAAUAAAUUUUAUAAAAUAUGUAAUUAACAAAGUUGUAAUUUUUAUCAUUUGUCUUUUUACGUGCAAUUUUGUAGUUAUAAAAUUACAAAAAUUAAUUAAUAAUUAAUUUCACGAAAUUUACUUUCACGGAAUCCUAGUAAAACUUACAAAGACGUAUGUUUUUUUUUCUUUUUGGCAUGCUAGUUUAACGGACAUUGAAUCACAGUGAUGUGAUGGGAAUAGGAGUGACAUAAUCAGCGAUGUUUCAUUACGCUUAAAUCUAUCACAAUCAAUGUUAGAAAGUGGUAAAAUCUUUCCUACAGGCGCGAUUCGCUAUACACGGUGUUCCGAGUCUUGUCUGUGUGUAUCGAAAUUCCAUAAGUGUUCUACGUAUUUCGUGAUCUGUGUUUCAUAACGAAAACUGACAAUCCUAUUUUCUAUAAUCCUAUUCAAGAUUGAGAAAUAUAUGAAAUCUUAACUUUCAUUCUCACACUCAUCAUCUUUUAAACUUAAAUUAUCGUUUUAUUUUAUUAAUUAUUAAAAAAAACUAUAUUGUAUUUUUAUAUGUCUUGAAUGUAAUAUUAUUCGAGAGAAAUUAAUAUUAAUCUUCCUUGAUAAGAGUAGCUAAGAGAAAAAUGUUUGAUUAAAGUUUUAAAUUAUAUGUAAAUAAGAUAAAAAUUAAAGACACGAGAUAUUGUCUUGAUAUUUGACCUUCGUCGUUCUCGGGACACCCUGUGGAACGGAAUCAAGCGCGACGAGGGUGACGGAGAUUAAUUUGUUACCAUCGUACAUUUCUCGAUGAUCCGUCGUAUUAAUCUCCCGAGCUCUGAUUAAAGGAAGCAUUACGUAUUGCUCAAACUGCUAUACUAGCUGUGGUGCUUGCAUUACGCAAGUUAACAUUAUCAUUAAUAUUGACUGUUUGUAUUGUUGUAAUAUGGCAUGAGAAUAUAGUUCUAUAUUAUACAGAUGUCUACAUAUAUAAAUAUUAAAUGAAAAAAAAAAAAAAAUUAUGUAUACAUAUAUAAGUUGCAAACUUGAAUAUAAAUAUAUAUAUAUAUAUAUAUAUAUAUACACGAAUGCAUAUAUACAUUUAUGUACGCGUGUGCGUGUGUAUACACAAUAUGUAUAUAUGCAUUCCUGCGUAGUAUCCACGAAGUCCUGCGUCGGAAGGGAGGCUGCUUCCAUUUCCAUUCAGCUGUUGCGCUUUUCGGGAAUUUUUGGCAUCGUUGACGAGGAGACCUUCCCAGGUUCUGAACCCAAAUCACGAAACCCGUUAUAUCGCGGUCGAAGACGAGAAUCGCCCGGAAACGAAGAGGAGAGACGACAUCGAAGCGAGAUCAAUUUAAAGAUCGUUUGCGCCGACGCUUUGGGGCUUUUCUUUUCUAAUGUAUGUACAACAAUUGCGACUAAGAUUGCUUACUGAUAAUCAAGAUUAAUUAUUUUACUAACUUUAGAGAUAAGAGAUACCAAAUAAUUAGCUUGUAAUCGAAUCAAUCGCUUACGGUUAAGGCUAAUCGAUUACAGAUAGAUGUGCUGUAAAGUUAACAAUAAGAUUUUUAAUAAUCAUUAAAACUGGAUGUAAAAAAAAAAAAAUUAGUCAGUCGUGACUGAGGAUGAUCUAGUAACGCGUAGUUAAUUAGUGUCUUCUAUUAUUAUUGCUGGUUCUAUGGGCAAAACGGACGUUUUUAGAAUUUGACGGGGGCUAGGAUAAAGACGAAUUGAAUCGCUUGUGCAAAGUUGAACUGUAAAAGCGGUCUCCGUGAGACGCACGAUUUGGUGGACACUUCGUAGAUACAUAAGCGACUGCAAGAGAUAUUUUACUUAUAUACUAUAUUGGAGACGGACGAUCAUGUUGUACUGAGCGGUAUUGUAAUGAGAGUUAUAUUUUUAUUAGUAAACGUAACGUAAAAAAAAAUGACGUAUUGUAAUAAACUAACUGAAGAAUCAUUGUUUUGUAUUACGCGCUCUCGCUCUAGUGUGUAACAAUUGUUUUAUAUAUACAUAUAUGUAUAUAAUGUUGACGAUCACGGUUCGACUCGGCUUCCUCCCUCCCCCAUUCCGAGAUCGAACCCGCCGCAGCGAGACACCCGUUUCUUUUCCUAGUUAAGGGAGAUAAUGGAGAUGACGCUUAGCGGACAAAACUGUAUUCCACUUCCUUCAUUGGAUAUUAAUAAAUGAUAAAUCUAUA